UACACAUCAAGCCACCUCGAGCUUCUCGGUCGAUUUGGCCGAUUUCGGCCUUUCCGGUGAAUUUUCGUCCCGUGAUCAAUCCCAAAUAUUUUUCUACGCCCGUUCUGAUGGCCUGAGUAUUUUUAAUAAACCCUACUAGGACUCUGAUCUUGAGGAAGAAUAUUUACCGAGCUUUCGGCUUCUUCGAAACAUUUCGUAAUACCGAAAUUUAGGGUUUUUCGCCCAAUUUCCGGUCUUCCUGUUGUGCUUCCUAAAGUGUCUUGCUUCAAAAAUCAUUUGAAUCAAUCUCCUACAUUGUCUGACCAUUGUCUAGUGGCAUACUUGACUCAUGGUUUAGACAAGAACAAUCUGAUCGUUCGCGACUCGACCACCCAAAGGAUACUCGACCAUUCUUUUUUUUUUUUUUUUUUAAGGGUUUCUACAGUAUCGGUCGACGUCUUAAUAGACUAUCGAUCGACACUCUCUCGUUUUCGACAUACUAACUGAUACCACUAAAAUUAUCCUAAGGAGUUUAGUCUCAUCAAAAGAGGUUCAGAUGUAGUACUUAGGGAUCGAAUCCACAAGGAGCUAGGAAACAAUUAAAUCUAGUGUUUAUUAAUUCUAAAGGUUGUAAUGUUUUAAAUGAAAUAGCAAUAGUAACUAGCGAGUAAAUGAUAAAUGUAACUUAGGUUGGAAAUGAUAUUAGAUGCAGGGCCACUAUUCAGGUGUUGGAGAUUAUAAU
rnacentral:lncRNA from 1 species